rnacentral:rRNA from 1 species
UACGAAGGGGGCUAGCGUUGUUCGGAAUUACUGGGCGUAAAGCGAACGUAGGCGGUGUUCCAUGUCAGAGGUGAAAGCCUGGGGCUCAACUCCAGAAUUGCCUUUGAAACGGGGACGCUUGAGUCCAGAGAGGAUGGCGGAAUUCCUAGUGUAGAGGUGAAAUUCGUAGAUAUUAGGAAGAACACCGGUGGCGAAGGCGGUCAUCUGGCUCGGUACUGACGCUCAGGUUUCGAAAGCGUGGGGAGCAAACAGGG